rnacentral:rRNA from 1 species
GAUGAACGCUGGCGGCGUGCCUAAUACAUGCAAGUCGAGCGAACAGAUAAGGAGCUUGCUCCUUUGACGUUAGCGGCGGACGGGUGAGUAACACGUGGAUAACCUACCUAUAAGACUGGGAUAACUUCGGGAAACCGGAGCUAAUACCGGAUAACAUAUUGAACCGCAUGGUUCAAUAGUGAAAGGCGGCUUUGCUGUCACUUAUAGAUGGAUCCGCGCCGUAUUAGCUAGUUGGUAAGGUAACGGCUUACCAAGGCAACGAUACGUAGCCGACCUGAGAGGGUGAUCGGCCACCCUGGAACUGAGACACGGUCCAGACUCCUUAUGGAGGCAGCAGUACGGAAUCUUCCGCAAUGGGCGAAAGCCUGACGGAGCAACGCCGCGUGAGUGAUGAAGGUCUUCGGAUCGUAAAACUCUGUUAUCAGGGAAGAACAAAUGUGUAAGUAACUGUGCACAUCUUGACGGUACCUGAUCAGAAAGCCACGGCUAACUACGUG